rnacentral:rRNA from 1 species
CCUACGGGAGGCAGCAGUAGGGAAUAUUGGACAAUGGGUGCGAGCCUGAUCCAGCCAUGCCGCGUGCAGGAAGACGGCCUUCUGGGUUGUAAACUGCUUUUGCCAGGGGAUGAAAAGUCCCUGCGGGGAAAAUUGAAGGUACCUGGUGAAUAAGCCACGGCUAACUACGUGCCAGCAGCCGCGGUAAUACGUAGGUGGCAAGCGUUGUCCGGAUUUAUUGGGUUUAAAGGGUGCGUAGGUUGUUUUGUAAGUCAGUGGUGAAAUCCGGCAGCUCAACUGUCGAUGUGCCAUUGACACUGCAGAACUUGAGUACAGACGAGGUAGGCGGAAUUGACGGUGUAGCGGUGAAAUGCUUAGAUAUCGUCAAGAACACCGAUAGCGAAGGCAGCUUACUAGACUGUAACUGACACUGAUGCACGAAAGUGUGGGGAUCAAACAGGAUUAGAUACCCUGGUAGUCCACACUGUAAACGAUGAUUACUCGAUGUUGGCGAUACACAGCCAGCGUCUUAGCGAAAGCGAUAAGUAAUCCACCUGGGGAGUACGCCCGCAAGGGUGAAACUCAAAUGAAUUGACGG